rnacentral:rRNA from 1 species
AACGAACGCUGGCGGCAUGCCUAACACAUGCCAGUCGAACGAGACCUUCGGGUCUAGUGGCGCACGGGUGCGUAACGCGUGGGAACCUGCCCUUAGGUUCGGAAUAACUCCCCGAAAGGGGUGCUAAUACCGGAUAAUGUCUUCGGACCAAAGAUUUAUCGCCUUUGGAUGGGCCCGCGUUGGAUUAGCUAGUUGGUAGGGUAAAAGCCUACCAAGGCGACGAUCCAUAGCUGGUCUGAGAGGAUGAUCAGCCACACUGGGACUGAGACACGGCCCAGACUCCUACGGGAGGCAGCAGUGGGGAAUAUUGGACAAUGGGCGAAAGCCUGAUCCAGCAAUGCCGCGUGAGUGAUGAAGGCCUUAGGGUUGUAAAGCUCUUUUACCCGGGAUGAUAAUGACAGUACCGGGAGAAUAAGCGCCGGCUAACUCCGUA